rnacentral:tRNA from 1 species
GACCCCGUCGUCCAGCCUGGUCUAGGACACAGGCCUUUCAAGCCUGGAACACGGGUUCGAAUCCCGUCGGGGUCGCCA